rnacentral:rRNA from 1 species
AACGAACGCUGACGGCGUGCUUAACACAUGCAAGUCGCACGAGAAUUUCCGCCUUCGGGUGGAAUAGUAAAGUGGCGCACGGGUGAGUAACGCGUGGAUAAUCUGCCUUCAAGUAGGGAAUAACAUUGCGAAAGCGAUGCUAAUACCGUAUAAGCUCACGAUUUGACUAGUUGUGGGAAAAGAUGGCCUAGUCUAUGCUAUCGCUUGAAGAUGAGUCCGCGUACCAUUAGCUAGUUGGUAGGGUAAUGGCCCACCAAGGCGACGAUGGUUAGCUGGUCUGAGAGGAUGAUCAGCCACACUGGAACUGACACACGGUCCAGACUCCUACGGGUGCAG